rnacentral:lncRNA from 1 species
UUCGGUGUUUUGGCUGAGAACACCCUUAAAGCUUAAAAUAAAACCUGCCUCUGGGGUGCAGGGGAGGAGAGAGGAGGACGCGAAUCACACCCGCUGCUGCGCGCCAGCCCGCCCCGUCUGUACAAUGGGAUGCUCGGGACUCGGACGGGAGGAUCCAGUGACUGCGAGCCCCGCAUUCGCCCGAUCCCAGCCUCACACCCCCAGCCAGCCCCCAGAGACCCUCCCACACUUACGAAGGAAAUGCAUGCGGCCAGGAGGAGAAUCCGCACCAGGAGGUCUUCAAACUGCUCUAUCACCAGCUCCCACAGGGUCUUCCCUGGGGGAGGAGCAGGGAGCUCUACCCAGGAAAAAGAAGAAAAGGACAGAUUCAUUUGGGGUUCAGCCUCAUGCCCCCCACACCCAAGACUUUGUGGCUAA